rnacentral:rRNA from 1 species
UACGGAGGGUGCAAGCGUUGUUCGGAAUUACUGGGCGUAAAGCGUGUCUAGGUGGGAAUAUAAGUCAGGUGUGAAAGACCAAGGCUCAACUUUGGAACUGCGCCUGAAACUAUAUUUCUUGAGUUGUGGAGAGGUGGGCGGAAUUCCUGGUGUAGCAGUGAAAUGCGUAGAUAUCAGGAAGAACAUCGGAGGCGAAGGCGGCUCACUGGCCACACACUGACACUAAAGCACGAAAGCGUGGGUAGCAAACAGGAUUAG